GAUGAACGCUGGCGGCGUGCCUAAUACAUGCAAGUCGAGCGAACGGACGAGAAGCUUGCUUCUCUGAUGUUAGCGGCGGACGGGUGAGUAACACGUGGAUAACCUACCUAUAAGACUGGGAUAACUUCGGGAAACCGGAGCUAAUACCGGAUGAUAUUUUGAACCGCAUGGUUCAAAAGUGAAAGACGGUCUUGCUGUCACUUAUAGAUGGAUCCGCGCUGCAUUAGCUAGUUGGUAAGGUAACGGCUUACCAAGGCAACGAUGCAUAGCCGACCUGAGAGGGUGAGCGGCCACAAUGGAACUGAGACACGGUCCAGACUCCUACGGGAGGCAGCAGUAGGGAAUCUUCCGCAAAGGGCGAAAGCCUGACGGAGCAACGCCGCGUGAGUGAUGAAGGUCUUCGGAUCGUAAAACUCUGUUAUUAGGGAAGAACAUAUGUGUAAGUAACUGUGCACAUCUUGACGGUACCUAAUCAGAAAGCCACGGCUAACUACGUG
rnacentral:rRNA from 1 species